rnacentral:rRNA from 1 species
UACGUAGGGUGCAAGCGUUAAUCGGAAUUACUGGGCGUAAAGCGUGCGCAGGCGGUUUUGUAAGUCUGAUGUGAAAUCCCCGGGCUCAACCUGGGAAUUGCAUUGGAGACUGCAAGGCUAGAAUCUGGCAGAGGGGGGUAGAAUUCCACGUGUAGCAGUGAAAUGCGUAGAGAUGUGGAGGAACACCGAUGGCGAAGGCAGCCCCCUGGGUCAAGAUUGACGCUCAUGCACGAAAGCGUGGGGAGCGAACAGG